AACGAACGCUGGCGGCAUGCCUAACACAUGCAAGUCGAACGAAGCCUUCGGGCUUAGUGGCGCACGGGUGCGUAACGCGUGGGAAUCUGCCCUUUGGUUCGGAAUAACAGUUGGAAACGACUGCUAAUACCGGAUGAUGACGAAAGUCCAAAGAUUUAUCGCCAGAGGAUGAGCCCGCGUAGGAUUAGCUAGUUGGUGUGGUAAAGGCGCACCAAGGCGACGAUCCUUAGCUGGUCUGAGAGGAUGAUCAGACACACUGGGACUGAGACACGGCCCAGACUCCAACGGGAGGCAGCAGUGGGGAAUAUUGGACAAUGGGCGAAAGCUUGAUCCAGCAAUGCCGCGUGAGUGAUGAAGGCCCUAGGGUUGUAAAGCUCUUUUACCCGGGACGAUAAUGACAGUACCGGGAGAAUAAGCCCCGGCUAACUCCGUGCCAGCAGCCGCCGUAA
rnacentral:rRNA from 1 species